AGCAAGAGCCCGGAGAUGGAUUCUGAGACAUGAAUCCAGGCCCUACGGGGCGCAGCAGGCGCGAAAACUUUACAAUGCGGGAAACCGUGAUAAGGGGACACCGAGUGCCAGCGUCAUACGCUGGCUGUCCAGGUGUGUAAAAUACACCUGUUAGCAAGGGCCGGGCAAGACCGGUGCCAGCCGCCGCGGUAACACCGGCGGCCCGAGUGGUGAUCGUGAUUAUUGGGUCUAAAGGGUCCGUAGCCGGUUUGGUCAGUCCUCCGGGAAAUCUGACAGCUCAACUGUUAGGCUUUCGGGGGAUACUGCCAGACUUGGAACCGGGAGAGGUAAGAGGUACUACAGGGGUAGGAGUGAAAUCUUGUAAUCCCUGUGGGACCACCUGUGGCGAAGGCGUCUUACCAGAACGGGUUCGACGGUGAGGGACGAAAGCUGGG
rnacentral:rRNA from 1 species